CCAGACUCCUACGGGAGGCAGCAGUGGGGAAUAUUGGGCAAUGGAGGAAACUCUGACCCAGCAACGCCGCGUGAAUGAUGAAGGUCUUCGGAUUGUAAAGUUCUUUUCUAAGGGAAGAAGAAAGUGACGGUACCUUAGGAAUAAGCCCCGGCUAACUACGUGCCAGCAGCCGCGGUAAUACGCAGGGGGCAAGCGUUAUCCGGAUUUAUUGGGUGUAAAGGGCGUGUAGGCGGGAGCGCAAGUCAGAUGUGAAAACUCAGGGCUCAACCCUGAGCCUGCAUUUGAAACUGUGUUUCUUGAGUGCUGGAGAGGCAAUCGGAAUUCCGUGUGUAGCGGUGAAAUGCGUAGAUAUACGGAGGAACACCAGUGGCGAAGGCGGAUUGCUGGACAGUAACUGACGCUGAGGCGCGAAAGCGUGGGGAGCAAACAGGAUUAGAUACCCGAGUAC
rnacentral:rRNA from 1 species